rnacentral:rRNA from 1 species
AGCAGCCGCGGUAAUUCCAGCUCCAAUAGCGUAUAUUAAAGUUGUUGCAGUUAAAAAGCUCGUAGUUGAAUUUCGGGAUUAAUAUGUUGGUCGUGCCUUGGUACGUACUGGCAUUAUUGGUUCCUACCUUCUGAAGAACCUCGAUGUCAUUAAUUUGGUGUCUUGGGGAAAUCAGGACUGUUACUUUGAAAAAAUUAGAGUGUUUAAAGCAGGCUAACGCUUGAAUACAUUAGCAUGGAAUAAUGAAAUAGGACGUUAAUCCUAUUUUGUUGGUUUCUAGGAUCGACGUAAUGAUUAAUAGGGAUAGUUGGGGGCAUUAGUAUUCAAUUGUCAGAGGUGAAAUUCUUGGAUUUAUUGAAGACUAACUACUGCGAAAGCAUUUGCCAAGGAUGUUUUCAUUAAUCAAGAACGAAGUUAGGGGAUCGAAGACGAUCAGAUACCGUCGUAGUCUUAACCAUAAAUUAUAGUCGACUAGGGAUCGGAUGAUGUUAUCUUUAAUGUACUCACUUCGGGCGCCGUU